rnacentral:rRNA from 1 species
AGAGUUUGAUCCUGGCUCAGGAUGAACGCUGGCGGCGUGCCUAAUACAUGCAAGUCGAGCGAACGGACGAGAAGCUUGCUUCUCUGAUGUUAGCGGCGGACGGGUGAGUAACACGUGGAUAACCUACCUAUAAGACUGGGAUAACUUCGGGAAACCGGAGCUAAUACCGGAUAAUAUUUUGAACCGCAUGGUUCAAAAGUGAAAGACGGUCUUGCUGUCACUUAUAGAUGGAUCCGCGCUGCAUUAGCUAGUUGGUAAGGUAACGGCUUACCAAGGCAACGAUGCAUAGCCGACCUGAGAGGGUGAUCGGCCACACUGGAACUGAGACACGGUCCAGACUCCUACGGGAGGCAGCAGUAGGGAAUCUUCCGCAAUGGGCGAAAGCCUGACGGAGCAACGCCGCGUGAGUGAUGAAGGUCUUCGGAUCGUAAAACUCUGUUAUUAGGGAAGAACAUAUGUGUAAGUAACUGUGCACAUCUUGACGGUACCUAAUCAGAAAGCCACGGCUAACUACGUGCCAGCAGCCGCGGUAAUACGUAGGUGGCAAGCGUUAUCCGGAAUUAUUGGGCGUAAAGCGCGCGUAGGCGGUUUUUUAAGUCUGAUGUGAAAGCCCACGGCUCAACCGUGGAGGGUCAUUGGAAACUGGAAAACUUGAGUGCAGAAGAGGAAAGUGGAAUUCCAUGUGUAGCGGUGAAAUGCGCAGAGAUAUGGAGGAACACCAGUGGCGAAGGCGACUUUCUGGUCUGUAACUGACGCUGAUGUGCGAAAGCGUGGGGAUCAAACAGGAUUAGAUACCCUGGUAGUCCACGCCGUAAACGAUGAGUGCUAAGUGUUAGGGGGUUUCCGCCCCUUAGUGCUGCAGCUAACGCAUUAAGCACUCCGCCUGGGGAGUACGACCGCAAGGUUGAAACUCAAAGGAAUUGACGGGGACCCGCACAAGCGGUGGAGCAUGUGGUUUAAUUCGAAGCAACGCGAAGAACCUUACCAAAUCUUGACAUCCUUUGACAACUCUAGAGAUAGAGCCUUCCCCUUCGGGGGACAAAGUAGACAGGUGGUGCAUGGUUGUCGUCAGCUCGUGUCGUGAGAUGUUGGGUUAAGUCCCGCAACGAGCGCAACCCUUAAGCUUAGUUGCCAUCAUUAAGUUGGGCACUCUAAGUUGACUGCCGGUGACAAACCGGAGGAAGGUGGGGAUGACGUCAAAUCAUCAUGCCCCUUAUGAUUUGGGCUACACACGUGCUACAAUGGACAAUACAAAGGGCAGCGAAACCGUGAGGUCAAGCAAAUCCCAUAAAGUUAGUUCUCAGUUCGGAUUGUAGUCUGCAACUCGACUACAUGAAGCUGGAAUCGCUAGUAAUCGUAGAUCAGCAUGCUACGGUGAAUACGUUCCCGGGUCUUGUACACACCGCCCGUCACACCACGAGAGUUUGUAACACCCGAAGCCGGUGGAGUAACCUUUUAGGAGCUAGCCGUCGAAGGUGGGACAAAUGAUUGGGGUGAAGUCGUAACAAGGUAGCCGUAUCGGAAGGUGCGGCUGGAUCACCU